rnacentral:rRNA from 1 species
AAUGAACGCUGGCGGCGUGCCUAAUACAUGCAAGUCGAGCGGAGCGGGGACGAGUGAGUAAUACGUGGAUAACCUCCUAUAAAACUGGGAUAACUUCGGGAAACCUGAGCUCACCCGGCUACUUAUCGAUGGAUCCUCGCUGCAUUAGCUAGUUGGUAAGGUAACGGCUUACCAAGGCAACGAGGCAUAGGCGACCUGAGUGGGUGAUAGGCCACACGGGAACUGAGACAAGGUCCAGACGCCUACGGGAGGCAGCAGGAGGGAAUCUUCCGCAAUGGGCGAAAGCCUGACUGAGCAACGCGGCGUGAGUGAUGAAGGCCCUCGGAGCGUAAAGCUCUGUGAUUCGGGAAGCGGUACCUAAUCAGAAAGCAACGGCUAACUACGUGCCAGCAGCCGCGGUAAUAC